GCCUGGGUGGCUCAGUCAGUUAAGCGUCUGACUUUGGCUCAGGUCAUGAUCUCACAGUUCGUGGGUUUGAGCCCCACCUCAGGCU
rnacentral:tRNA from 1 species